rnacentral:rRNA from 1 species
GGGUGAGUAACGCGUAUCCAACCUGCCCAUAACUAAGGGAUAACCCAGCGAAAGUUGGACUAAUACCUUAUGUAUUCGUUUGAUCUCAUGAGAUUACGAAUAAAGAUUUAUCGGUUAUGGAUGGGGAUGCGUCUGAUUAGCUUGUUGGCGGGGUAACGGCCCACCAAGGCAACGAUCAGUAGGGGUUCUGAGAGGAAGGUCCCCCACAUUGGAACUGAGACACGGUCCAAACUCCUACGGGAGGCAGCAGUGAGGAAUAUUGGUCAAUGGACGCAAGUCUGAACCAGCCAAGUAGCGUGCAGGAUGACGGCCCUAUGGGUUGUAAACUGCUUUUAUAUGGGGAUAAAGUGGGGAACGUGUUCCCUUUUGCAGGUACCAUAUGAAUAAGGACCGGCUAAUUCCGUGCCAGCAGCCGCGGUAAUACGGAAGGUUCGGGCGUUAUCCGGAUUUAUUGGGUUUAAAGGGAGCGUAGGCCGUUUGGUAAGCGUGUUGUGAAAUGUAGGAGCUCAACUUCUAGAUUGCAGCGCGAACUGUCAGACUUGAGUGCGCACAACGUAGGCGGAAUUCAUGGUGUAGCGGUGAAAUGCUUAGAUAUCAUGAAGAACUCCGAUUGCGAAGGCAGCUUACGGGAGCGCAACUGACGCUGAAGCUCGAAGGUGCGGGUAUCGAACAGGAUUAGAUACCCUGGUAGUCCGCACAGUAAACGAUGGAUGCCCGCUGUUAGCACCUAGUGUUAGCGGCUAAGCGAAAGCAUUAAGCAUCCCACCUGGGGAGUACGCCGGCAACGGUGAAACUCAAAGGAAUUGACGGGGGCCCGCACAAGCGGAGGAACAUGUGGUUUAAUUCGAUGAUACGCGAGGAACCUUACCCGGGCUUGAAUUGCAGAUGAACGAUUUAGAGAUAAUGAGGUCCUUCGGGACAUCUGUGAAGGUGCUGCAUGGUUGUCGUCAGCUCGUGCCGUGAGGUGUCGGCUUAAGUGCCAUAACGAGCGCAACCCCUUUCUUUAGUUGCCAUCAGGUUCUGCUGGGCACUCUGGAGAUACUGCCACCGUAAGGUGUGAGGAAGGUGGGGAUGACGUCAAAUCAGCACGGCCCUUACGUCCGGGGCUACACACGUGUUACAAUGGGUGGUACAGAUAGUUGGUCGU